AUUGCUUCUCAGCCUUUUGGCUAAGAUCAAGUGUAGUAUCUGUUCUUAUCAGUUUAAUAUCUGAUAUGUCCUCUAUCUGAGGACAAUAUAUUAAAUGGAUUUUUGAAGCCAGGAGAUGGAGUAGGAGCUUGCUCCGUCCACUCAGCACAUAGACCCAGUAUUGCAGUACUUCUGAGAAUGGUGUACUUCCC
rnacentral:snRNA from 1 species